rnacentral:rRNA from 1 species
UACGAAGGGGGCUAGCGUUGCUCGGAAUCACUGGGCGUAAAGGGUGCGUAGGCGGCGCGGUAAGUCGGGUGUGAAAUCUUGGAGCUUAACUCCGAAACUGCAUUCGAUACUGCCGUGCUUGAGGACUGGAGAGGAGACUGGAAUUUACGGUGUAGCGGUGAAAUGCGUAGAUAUCGUAAGGAAGACCAGUGGCGAAGGCGGGGUCUCUGGACAGUUCCUGACGCUGAGGCACGAAGGCCAGGGGAGCAAACGGG